rnacentral:rRNA from 1 species
UUAGCCGUAAACCUAAGUAAUUCUUUUAACAAAAUUACUCGCCAGAGAACUACUAGCAAUCGCUUAAAACUCAAAGGACUUGGCGGUACUUUACACCUGU